UGUGUUGGCUACAGCCCUGCCCUGCGUGUGUCCGUCCUCCUUGUGACUCAUUCUUUCAACCCACAGGUUAAAAUCAGAGAUGCACAUGACCUGGCGAAUCUGCAUGUGAAGCCAGUUGAGCCCAGAAAGGCAGUGCAACCACAGAAGACUCAAGCAGGAAGAAGGCCCUGUUGGACAAGCAACUAGAGUAAGAAUCAAAACAACAGGAUCACAAAGCUAGACCCUCUUCAUAUAAUCCAUGUGAUACUGGGAGAGGCCUUCUGUCUUCCCCAUCACAUGGAGGAGGUGGAGCAUUUUCUAAGAAGCUUGGAAACAAUUUGUUCCUGGCCAGUCUUGGUGGAGGGACUGUAUUUCAGGAGGCUGCAGCUGACAAAAAAACUUCAAGCCUUUCUUCUUCUGAAGUGAGGACGAAGACAACUGGAUCAUAGGACCAGAUCCUCUACAACCCACGUGACACUGGUAUCUCCCAUAUUGUCCCAUUUAAACAACGGCUCAAGCAUCCUUGGGAAACUGUUGGAGGAGAACAGACCACACAAGCUAUAAACACUUGGUAGUUCUAAGGCAAAGAUUUUGGUAAGAGUAUUGUUUUUGUAGGAACUGC